CAUCCCCAGAAGCUGUAAGAUGGACCUAAACACGGUUGUACAACAAGCCUCCAAAUUUAGUGAUUCAAAUCCAAAAAUGAAAUACUUUAUUUAUAGGAACAAUAUAAUAACAAAAUAUACAUCAAACUUGGAAUAUAAAUUGACAUCAAAUCCUAUAUGUCUGUUACAUAAUAAUGUUUAUAGAGGAUAUGGUUUUUACCUCCACAAUAAAAAAAUUAUUACUGUUAAUCAUCUUUUUAAAGAUGUUAAAUUCCCCACUGUAAUUUGGUGUCUUUUUCCCUCAGAUGAUUUUAUAUUGAUUUUGAAGUGUAAAAUGAAGCAUUCUUGGUCGUACCAGUCAUACCCUGACAUGGACACGGCUGUACUCCAUUUUGAUGCUGAUCCUUCACCUCUAGGUGAUGGCUUAUAUGAUAGAAUGUGCCUGGGUCCUCCAGAACCAGGUAUAGAUUUAAAUUUUUACACAUUUGAUUUACAAAAUCUAAAUAUUCGUAUUCCACAUCCUGGGGAAAAAGUUCCUAUGAUUGACAAACCAAGAAAAAAAUCAUUAGAAAAUGACUUCCUGAUGAGUGUAUCUGGCGAAAUGGGAGAUAGUGGAAGCCCUAUUUUUGAUCAAAUGGGAAAAUGUAUAGGAUUAUAUUGUGGAUAUUUCCAUGGCAAUGGUCGUGGGGUUUAUCUAACAGAUUCUAUAUUCCAAUCACCCUUUUUUCAUUACAUCAGAUCAAAAAUCAGGAAAAUUCUUACAAAAAUAAAAGAAUAAAAAAAACAAUAAAACAAAAUUAAACAUGACAUAACAUACCAAAAAAAAAUAUAUUUUUUUUUACAUUUGAUUUACAAAAUCUAAACAUUCGUAUUCCACAUCCUGGGAUAAAAGUUCCUAUGAUUGACAAACCAACAAA